UUCUGUAACAUGCAAGAACAUAACGUUCGAAGUAUAAGCACAACAAAGUGUCCUAUAGCCGACAAGAAAGAAAACCGAUCAGUCGACGAGAAAGAAGUUUGUCCAACGAACGUAACUGGCUAUAACCUAUAUCCUGCAAUUUUUUUUUUUUUUUUUUUUAUAUCAAUGGUUCUUGCGGCAAUCUUCUACAUUGUUUACCGUGCUUGCAAACGCUUGAACAAUCACGGUCUUAAGUAUAAAUUUUAAUGUGAUCAUCGCGUAGCAUGCACGUACAAACUCGGUAACGCAGUUGAUGCCCGUAACCGGUCAAACAGCGAUUGACGUAACAAAGGAAUUCUGAUAAAAUAAUCGGUACAUAGAUAUACACGCGUUAUUGCCGAAGAUUCCUUCAACUAACCCGUAUUUGGAGUUUGUGAAUUCUGCCCGCUGCUAACACAAAUAUUGACACAGUCCAAAGACAUCGUAUCACUAAUUGUGUCAAUUGCAUCUUCGUUAAUUUUCACCAGGGAAGUGUCACAUCACGGAAAUA